GCUAGCGUAGCUUAAUACAAAGCAUAACACUGAAGAUGUUAAGAUGGGUCCUGAGAGGCUCCGCAUGCA
rnacentral:tRNA from 1 species